rnacentral:rRNA from 1 species
UACGUAGGGUGCGAGCGUUGUCCGGAAUCACUGGGCGUAAAGGGCGCGUAGGUGGCGCGGGAAGUCAACGGUGAAAGUUCGGGGCUCAACCCUGAAUCGGCCGUCGAUACUCCCGGGCUCGAGCACUGUAGAGGCAGAUGGAAUUCCGGGUGUAGCGGUGGAAUGCGUAGAGAUCCGGAAGAACACCGGUGGCGAAGGCGGUCUGCUGGGCAGUUGCUGACACUGAGGCGCGACAGCGUGGGGAGCAAACAGG